rnacentral:rRNA from 1 species
GUGAGGGAAAGGUGAAAAGAACCCCGAACAGGGGAGUGAAACAGAACCUGAAACCAUACGCUUACAAGCGGUCGGAGUCCCGCCAUUGGCGGGAUGACGGCGUGCCUUUUGCAUAAUGAGCCUACGAGUUACUGUUGCCAGCAAGGUUAAGGUCUUAAGGACCGGAGCCGUAGCGAAAGCGAGUCUGAACAGGGCGGUACAGUUGGUAGUAGUAGACGCGAAACCGUGUGAUCUACCCUUGGGCAGGUUGAAGCUGUGGUAACA